GGCCCAAGUUUACCCAUUCAACAUGAAUAUAAAAGAAGAGUUGGAGGAGGGUGUGAAUAAAGAGUUUCUUGAAGACCCAUUGAAGGCUGAUGGGCCUAGUGUUUGGAUAAAGUAAGACCCUGAACUGAAAAAGCAGGCUGAUGGAUCUGAGCAUAAUUCCAUUGAAGAUCCAUUGGGAAUAUUGUGGUCCACUGAUUUUAUCAAGGAGGAUCCUUAAUUAAAUUUGGAAAUGAGUGUAACUGAUAAUAUUGUAAGU